rnacentral:lncRNA from 1 species
GAAUGAGGAACAGAGAACUUCACCUUUGGGGGUUGGGUGUACAAGCCCCAACUGGGCCCCAAGUCCCAUAAAUAGCUUUGGAUUCCAACAUACAAGCAUUUACUUGCUCUGUGACUUGGAGCAAGUCAUUUAGCCUCUCUGGGCCUGGUGUCCUCAUCUGCAGAAUGGAGAUGAUAAUAUCUACUUCACAAAGGUGUGAAGGCCCUGUGAGACACCGCAUGUGGAUUUCCUCGACAUUGUUUGCCCAUCGUAACUAAACUCAGCAUAAUUAUGGCCUGAGGAACUUAAAAAAUGCACAUUCCCAGGUCCUGGCUUUCAGUCUCUGAACUACAUUUUUUUUUUUUUUGAGACAGAGUCUCAUUCUGUCAUCCAGGCUGGAGUGCAGUGGCGUGAUCUCAGCUCACUGCAACCUCUGCCUCUCAGCUUCAAGCGACUCUUGUGCCUCAGCCUCCCAAGUAGGUGGGGCUACAGGUAUGCACUGCCACGCCUAGCUAAUUUUUGUAUUUUUAGUAGAGAUAGGGAUUUUGUCAUGUUGGCCAGCCUGGUGUCGAACUUCUGGCCUCGAGUGAUCUGCCUGCCUCGGCCUCCCAAAGUGUUGGGAUUACAGGUGUGAGCCACCGUACCUGGCCAGAACUACAUUUUGAGAAAUACUGGUUUUUGUGGCAAGAGACACAGACCUAGGUUCAAGUACUAUAAUUAGCUGUGUGACCUUGAAUGUGAUCCUUCUGAGCUGCAAUGCUCUUAGCUUUAAAACAGGAAUUAAGCCUAUCUCCUCCACCUCAUGGGAGAUCAUCAGCAAACGUGCUUCAUGCCUGUUAAAUGCCUUGGCAUGUGGAAGAGUGCCAUUUUUAUACUAGUGCCAACCAUGUGCUGUAGAGAAAUACAAAGGAAGGCACAGACCUGGUCCCAAGCUCAGAGAGAAAUUCCUUAAAUCUUUGGGGCUGGAUGUAAACUCAUCGGCACUAUUUUGAGUGAAGGCUAUUGGCCAGAGUGGAAGGAAGUGUUUUCUAUCUCAUGCAUGCUGGUGCCUCCCAGUGAACAACACAGCAAAGUCUACAGAGCGUGUCAGGAGCUUGAAUC